rnacentral:rRNA from 1 species
GAUGAACGCUAGCGGCAGGCUUAAUACAUGCAAGUCGAGGGGCAGCAGGGUGUAGCAAUACAUCGCUGGCGACCGGCAAACGGGUGCGGAACACGUACGCAACCUUAACCUUCAAGCGAGGAAUAGCCCAGGGAAACUUGGAUUAAUACCUCGUAACAUUGUGAAGUGGCAUCACUUUAUAAUUAAAGCUCAGGCGCUUGAAGAUGGGCGUGCGACUGAUUAGGAGUUGGCGGAGUAACAGCCCACCAAGCCUGCGAUCAGUAACUGGUGUGAGAGCACGACCAGUCACACGGGCACUGAGACACGGGCCCGACUCCUACGGGAGGCAGCAGUAAGGAAUAUUGGUCAAUGGACGCAAGUCUGAACCAGCCAUGCCGCGUGGAGGAUGAAGGUCCUCUGGAUUGUAAAC